UGGGGAAUUUUGGACAAUGGGCGCAAGCCUGAUCCAGCAAUGCCGCGUGCAGGAUGAAGGCCUUCGGGUUGUAAACUGCUUUUGUACGGAACGAAAAGGCUCUGGCUAAUACCUGGGGCACAUGACGGUACCGUAAGAAUAAGCACCGGCUAACUACGUGCCAGCAGCCGCGGUAAUACGUAGGGUGCGAGCGUUAAUCGGAAUUACUGGGCGUAAAGCGUGCGCAGGCGGUUUUGUAAGACAGAGGUGAAAUCCCCGGGCUCAACCUGGGAACUGCCUUUGUGACUGCAAGGCUGGAGUGCGGCAGAGGGGGAUGGAAUUCCGCGUGUAGCAGUGAAAUGCGUAGAUAUGCGGAGGAACACCGAUGGCGAAGGCAAUCCCCUGGGCCUGCACUGACGCUCAUGCACGAAAGCGUGGGGAGCAAACAGGAUUAGAUACCCCUGGUAGUCCACGCCCUAAACGAUGUCAACUGGUUGUUGGGUCUUAAUUGACUCAGUAACGAAGCUAACGCGUGAAGUUGGACCGCCUGGGGAGUACGGCCGCAAGGUUGAAACUCAAAUGAAUUGACGGGGUCAUAGCUGUUUCCU
rnacentral:rRNA from 1 species